UUGUCUCCCGCCACACCACUCAGCCAAAACUCUAGUCACCAUUACUCCAUCACACUCUCUCCUCCUCUGCCUGCAUGCCUCCUGCCAGACUUCUUCAAUCCCUCAGCAACACCUUUUGUCAUUAAAUUACACCCCCCCCCCCAACUUCCACCUGUGAGUCUGUGUCUGCUUUAAGAAUGCUUUACAGACCCAAGUCACCGACCCCAUUGAAGGAAGUACCAGUUCUACAGCCAGCAUUUCUGUCUCAGCUCCAGAGCCUCACACAGAUGCUCAAGCUUCAGUGCCGGUCCUCAGUCCCAUAGCAGUGUGUGCCACUGUGUCAACCUGACUCCAGGACAGAGACAUUUGAAGCUUCAAACACUCAGCUGUGCCGUUUGUGGUCUGAGGGCAUUCCAUCUGAAGACCACAAAUGGAUUGUGAAGACCCUGUUGAAGCUGGGGCCCAAGGGAAAACUAGAGCUUCAAGACAACCUGAAUGGAUGCCCUACAAAUUGUGGAAGGUGAUGGUGGUCUGUGCCAACCUUGCAUGUGUUCCAUGCACCAGUUCACAGGAGCAGCGCUGCACAAGAGAGCAGCCAGACUGCCCUUAUGCAAUGGGACUUGGCUCACAGAUCAGAAUUUCAGGUCAUCCUCACACAAAACAGACUUCCCCGGACCCAUGGGAACUCCUUAGCCUCCCAAGCCUGCUGUGGUGCAGAGCUGUAAGUGGCUCCUCUCCGUUUACAGCCAGGACAUUUCACAAUGCUGGAGGACAUCAAGGCCAGAAUAACAUUGACCUAUGGCACCAAUCUAAAAAUGGAUUUGACCAAAAAGGCUUUUGAUGACAAAUGUUCCUGGAUACCAGCAUGUGGACAGACUUGCUGAGUACUUCGUGGAGCUUCGGGAUCAGACUGUCUCAGCAACAAGCAUAUGAGCACAAUUAUUGUACUUUGGAGAGCCUGGAUGAAGGUGACAAGCAGCAGGCGGUUUAUGCAACGCGACAUCAGGAGAGACUUUGGUGGAUGGAUCAGAACACCAAAGACCUCAAAAAAGCCUGGUGUGGAGAGCACCACCCAUUCCAUGUUAGAUGCGAGUAGUGCACCUGCUCAGUGGCCUGACUGCUGUCGGUUGGUGGAAAACAUUUUUAUAAGACUCUGCAAUCUUCAUUCAAGCCCAGUAAGGAAAUUAAAAAGGGCCAAUUCAAGAUGGUCCUUAAUUCUGAGGGACUAUCGUAAGAUUAUGCAGCGUGUAGUUGGCAACUCCCUGGUGAUGCAGGGAACAGAGAUGCAGCUGGUGAACCAGAACACCCUUGUCCAAUGGCACAACAACAGGCAGAAGAAGCAGGAGCUCUUUGUGCUCCUCUAGGGCCUUGCAUUGCCUCCAGCCAUUUCUGAAGGGCCUCUUCAGGAGGCAAGAGAACCUCUGCUGAACCCAUGCCAGCACAACAGGAGCAUCAGUACAAGCUACUUGAGAGUACAGCAGUUCAGGCACAACAGAGACAGACAGCCUCUAAUCAUCUCCCAUCAUGCCAAAGGGGUCACUAAAGCAGCAUUUGUUUCUCACACCCCCAGAACCAGGACCCUUGCUGACUCCUCAGAGCCUCACAACAGCAGGACAAUCUUUAAGUCUAGUGCCAGUAGUUCCCCAGCUUGUCCUUCUUGUGUCAGUUCAGGGCACCAACCCAUAAACCAGUACACCUACCACACCAGGGGAAGCUGGAGCUACUCAUAAGAGGCCAAAAAGACAAAUUGUAGAAGCAAAUACAUGUAAGAUGUGUGGCCAGUUCCUCACUGCUGACACUGGACACAGCCAGUACUGUGGCAGAAUGUUUUGCCCUCUGUCUGAAUCUCUUAGUAAAGAUCUGUGGUUGGAGGAAAUGAGGAAAAACGUUCCCUAAAUAAUGUAAGUUAAUAAUUGUUGUUGAGUUUUAUUCAUUCCCAACUAUAAAUAUACUGAUAUAUUAAGUAUUGAUAUAUUCUGUUUACU